GCGCGUGCACAACCGUGGUCACGUUCAUCUGACGCGGUUUGAGGGGGAAAAAUCUUCAAGCACGUGGCUUCCAGGUAUGUUCACGCGCUUUGAGAAAGUUUAGUUGCCUUGUGUAUUUGAGGGGCCGCAAUGUACUAGUGGAGGAACAAAAGAGGGAAAUAACACUUUAAAAUUUCGUCUUCUUACUGUUAAUUAUUCGCAUUUGACCGCCGCGGACACAGUGAAGUUAUGGAAAGCUAACUGGAAUUGAAACAAGGCUCCAGAUUAAAGAGGUAUCUAGCGGUCCUGGAAAAAUAUCUUUGUUGGUCUCCCACCCAAAAGCCAGUUUUUGGUUUUGAUGGCACAGCUUCUGAAAGUUUGAUGGCUUCAGCUCUUCAUUAAGUAUUUAUUGUAAUUUUUUUUAUUAUUUCUAUGUUUAUAAUUUAUUUUUUCAAGUCCUUAGCAUCUCAUUAACUAUGCCAGAUUUGUGAUUGUCGUCAGCAGACUGGCUAGUUGCCCUGGCAGCCGUUGACCUCAAAAUACAGCAGUUGAGUUUCAAAAAGAAUAGGACUCUCUGCAAAUUGGCUUUGCGACUGAGCCUUAAUAAUGAACUCACUGGCUUAGAAACAAAUUGCAAUUUUCCCCUCUGCAGUCAGCAGGGAAAAACAAUUAAAAUAAGCUUCACGUGCAUGGGGACUGUUAAAAAUUAAAUUGAUUUCUCACAAAUGCACACAAGGGUUCGCUGAACAUUAAAAAUUGAUUUAAAAAUUAAAAUGAAGAGUAAACUUUGGUCUUUCGGGUAGCAGAAAAAAAAAAGAUUAUUUUUUUUAAUAAGAGAUCUUUUGUGAAUUCUCUGAUAUAACUAAAUUUAGAUACCAGUCAAUGUUAAUUACAACCUUUUAUUGUAGGGUUAGGUAUUAAUGGUUCAGAAAGUCUAGCUUAUAAUUGCCUGUGGUUUGCUUGACGUAAUGUCUCUCUCUGAUUCACCCAAAACCUGGCACAAUCAUAAGCUUUAGCCAUCACUUCUUGUCAUUUUCCUGGAAUAGACAGUGGACUGUUGCCAAGUAAAGAUUGCUAAUAUGCAUUUUGGGAAACAUGGCAUAAUUUUGACUGACAGCUUGUUCCUGUAGAGGGACAUAAAGUGGGGGUUUAGGGCGUCUGCUG